CAGUCGCCGCGGGAAUACGGAGGGUGCAAGCGUUAAUCGGAAUUACUGGGCGUAAAGCGUGCGUAGGCGGUUCGUUAAGUCUGUUGUGAAAGCCCCGGGCUCAACCUGGGAAUGGCAAUGGAUACUGGCGAGCUAGAGUGUGUCAGAGGAUGGUGGAAUUCCCGGUGUAGCGGUGAAAUGCGUAGAGAUCGGGAGGAACAUCAGUGGCGAAGGCGGCCAUCUGGGACAACACUGACGCUGAGGCACGAAAGCGUGGGGAGCAAACAGGAUUAGAUACCCGUGUAGUCCCUGUCUCUUAUAC
rnacentral:rRNA from 1 species